CUCCUGGGUUUAAGUGAUUUUUCUGCCUCAGCCUCCCAAGAACUAACCUGUCAGGUACUGAGAGGCUUUGAAGAUGGCUCUUCAGGUUGGGGACACGCCUUUGUUAAGGGGCAAGACUGCUGCCUGGAGUUGAUUCACAUACUCAGAGCUCAUCUUACUUGAUUGCUGUGAUGAAGCAAGCUGCCAUAUUGUGAGCCACCCUAUGAUAAGGUGCACGUGGCAAGGAACCUGAGAGUGACCCCCAGCCAACAGCCAGCAAGACUGAAUAUGCCAACAGCCACAUGAGUCAGCGUGAAAGCAGAUCCUUCCCCAGCCAAGCCUUGAGAUGACUGUAGCCCCAGCUCACACUCUGCUGGCUGUGAGACCCUGAAAUAGAAACUCAGCUAAGUUGUGCCCAGAUUCCUAACCACAGGACUGUGAAAUAAAAUGUUGUUUUAAGCCACUGUUUUUGAGGUAAUUUGUUAUGUAGCAAACAUAUAACCAAUAGAGACAAGCGUGGAGGUUAUGCACCUUGGCAAUAUGAACUUCUAACCUACCAAGGCCACUGUGGCCCUAGCACUGCUGAAUUCCCAACCUACCAACAGCAGAGAUCAACACUGAGCUCCCACUGUGAACUAUUUCCUGAUGGCAGGCUGAUUACUUUGGACCCCUUCUGUCUAGCACAGGCCUUAGGGUCACAGAGAUUUGGUGAAAAUCCCAGCUCUGCCAGGCUGAUACGCCUAGGUGAGGCCUGUUUUCCUAGGGGUGUUUCCUGUGUCUGUUGGGGACUUUGUGAAAUAUCUCAAAUGGAGCUGAGCACCCAGGUGGAGGUUCACAAGGGGCUGUUCCCCUCCCUUUCAUGUGAGUGCCCCAGGGACAAGAACCCUGUUCCUCUGCUUCCUAACUCCUCUUCUCCCAUCACAAUUUCAGGUCUUCUGGGAAGCAUGGCUAGUUAGCGUCUGCCCCUUCAAGGACCCACUGACCAUGUACCUCAGACCCCGGGCGCCACUCCCAAGGGUGGUAUCCUGUACCACUGGACUCUGCAACAGAAAGGAAACAGAGUUCAUAUGCACAGUGUGAGGCUCCAACUGAUGCUCCUACCUCCUUCUUUCUAAAACUAGACUGCGGGCCCUUGGCCUGGAAGUGGAAACAGACUGAGGUCUAGGCCUUGCCUUCCCUCCAGAAGCUCCAGAGCUUGGGGGUGGGAGGAGAGACAGACCUAUUAAUCUUAGUGUUUCAGACACCAUGUAAGGCACAGGUGGAGGCACUAAGGAGAAGGGGAAGAAGGGUUCAGUUGGGCCUGAAGGAAGAGUUUGGGUAAAGUCCUUAAUAGAAGUGAUGUCUCUUCCCAUCCCCUUGUCACCUGCAGAUUCAGGAGCCAUCCUGAGGGAUAUGGCAACAUUUGGGAGGACUCGGCAGCUACGUGUUAUAAUAGAAAAUGACUUUGAGGUGAGAAGAUACCCACUGCUUCCCUGACCUCCUUCUCCCCAGCUCCUUAUCUGAGGUGAAGGGGGUCCCCUGAGCCAGUCCCCCUCCCUUUCUAGGGGAGUGUCUGGGAAAGAGGGCAGAUUUGGAACCAGAGAAAGCUCUCUGGAAGGGGUUAGAUUUGAUCUGGGUCUUGCAGGAUGGCGGCUAGGGCCUCUCCUGCGGAGUUCAUGGAAUGCGUGUCUGCUGUGAAGGAGACAGUGUGUGAGGGAUGCGACAGGGAUGUGCCAACAUGGUAAAGGUGGUCUGAAAACUGGUGAAGGAUGGGCCUAUACCUGGGAGGCCCCCAGCCAAGCAGUUCUCUAACCUGGGAGUUGCUUCAGGUUGUAGGCACCAUCUCUUCCUCUCCUGUCUGGCCACUUCCUGUGGCUGACUGCCUUGGGAGUGGUAAAGUGCUGAGGCUGAGCCCUUUCCUGCCCAUCCCAGCUCUCACACUCACCUCUCCUGUCAGCUCCUCCAACCCCCUUUUCAUGAUCAAUUCCAGCCAAAAGGUCAGCUUUUUCCCCUGGACUGAGACCUGGAGUCAAACUGGACCCGACAGGGUUGUCCACGGACUCCCAUCUCUCUCCUUACUUAUAUAGCCUAGGGUCCCAACUGGGAGACUAGAUGAAAGCAGGGCUGAGCCAGACCCUCCCACCAAUCAAAGCUGCCAGAAGAGGGCAGGCUUUCUUAUUUACCACUAGGUUCCUAUCAACUGCAAAUAUUGGGAAGGGGGAAUGAAACCCAUGAACGUUCAAAUGAGAAAGCAAAAUAAGAGUGGCAGUGUGCUAAGCUCCUGGGCUAGGAAUCAGGACCCAGCCUUUAGCCUUCAGCCUCCUCACAGCCCCUUGAGAGGAGGGAAAGCCCUUGAGGCAGGCAUGAUGGGAAGCUGACUGGCUUAGCAGGGCUUCCAUGCUCUUGCUUCCUCCUUUGUAUCCUCAUAUCACGGGGCAGACUCCAAACACACAACACUCAAGACCACAAAGAAUGGUUCUUAGCCUUUGGAGGGUCAAGGAUCCCUUUAUAAAUCUGAUACAAGCUGGUUAGUCUUCUUGUCAGAAAAACACAUGCAUGCAAACACCCACAAAAACAUGUAAACAAUCUGUUGAUGGUCCCUGAUUUAGUCCAGCACCCUCAUCUUAAAGACUUUGGGACUCAGAAGGGAGAUCUUUCCAACCACUAUGGGACCAUUAAUGGGCUUGAAACCACUAUGUUAAGUGAAAGAAGCUAGACACAAAGGAUCACAUAUUAUACGAUUCCAUUUAUGUAAAAUGUCCCGAAUAGGCAAAUGGGAUGAGGGGUAAAGGAUGCCUAAGGGAUAUGGAGUUUCUUUCUGCAGUGAUGAAAAUGUUCUAAAAUUUUUUUUUUUUUUGGCAAUGAUGGCUGCACAACUCUGAAUAUACUAAAAGCUAUUUAAUUGUAUACUUUUAAGUGGGUGAACUGUAUGGUAUGUACAUUGUAUCUCAAUAAGCUGUCUUUAAAAAGUGAACUCAGGGGUUGCAAAUGACCACACAUCUGAGCUUUAGUCCCCAUUCAUCAGGGGCAUAACCUGUGGAGAAAAAUCAGGGAAUUAUGCAGUAUAUGGGUUAGACAGGAAAACAUUCUAGAAAGAACGAGAUUCUAUGUAUAAUCUUAAGGGCAAUAAAGCAUCAUGGAAGGUUUUAAGCAGUAUAUAAUCAGAUCUACACUUUAGAAAUCCCCCAAAUCACUGAAUUGUACAUUUCAAACAAGUGAAUUUUAUGGUAUGUAAAUUAUAUCUCAAUAAAGCCAUUGAAAAAAAAAUCCCUUUGGGAGCUUGAGGAGGAUAAACUGGAGGGCAUCAACUGGGGGAGGCUGUGGUGUAGGAGUCUGGGUGAGCGGGCCAAGCCCAUCUGUUUGGACUUGAGGGAAAAUGGCUUGGGGUUAGUCAGGGGAGGAUCAGAACGUCUUGCCCAAGGUUAAGAAGCUGGUGGAACUUGAUUUCAGAACCCAGCGCUCCCUGGCUUCAGCCCUAGUGCUCCCGCCAGCACUACAGCUGCUCCACUGACUGGUGAUGGAAGCACUGUCCUCCCCGUCUAAGAGAAAUGCACUUCAGAAACAUGUUUCCAAAAAAUGUUUCUAAGGGUUUUAUUUCUAACAAGAGGAAAAUAAUAAAAUAAAAUUAAAAUAGGCUUCAGUUGGAACCAAGUUUCUUGUUUUGCUUUUUUUUUCCUUUUGAACAAAUUAAUUACACACCAACAAUCUUUUUUUAUUACAACAUGAACCCAGGAGGAGGAAAGGAGACAGGGGAGGACAGGGAGGGAGGAUUGAGGUGGUUGUGAGGACAAGCACCAAAAGCUUUCUUCAGAUCACAGGGAGCCCUGUUCAGCUCCCCAGCCAAAUUCCUUUAAAAUAAAAAACUGUGAGCACGGCUAUGUGAAGUUUCCUCCUCCUGGGUGGAACAGUCAGGGGAAGGGAGAGGGAGAAGUGGGUAGGAAGGAAGGAAAAGAGGGGAGGAGAGUGGGGGCAGG